UACAGAGGGGGCAAGCGUUGUUCGGAAUUACUGGGCGUAAAGGGCGCGUAGGCGGCCUGUUAAGUCGAACGUGAAAUCCCCGGGCUCAACCCGGGAACUGCGUCCGAUACUGGCAGGCUUGAAUUCGGGAGAGGGAUGCGGAAUUCCAGGUGUAGCGGUGAAAUGCGUAGAUAUCUGGAGGAAUACCGGUGGCGAAGGCGGCAUCCUGGACCGGCAUUGACGCUGAGGAGCGAAAGCUAGGGGAGCAAACGGG
rnacentral:rRNA from 1 species